ensembl:lncRNA novel transcript
ACAGUCUGCGCCGGGAGCUCAACGAUUCCAGGGCCCCUGCAGCCCUACCCGCCCGGCCCCCUCUGCCUCCCAGAGAUGAAAGGGGAAAGCCACUGUGGGAGCUUGGUCUAAGGUGGCGUGAAGAGGGCAGCUACUGGAGCUGGCCUGCAGCUCUAGUGCUGGAAAGCCCUGGGGAGGCAGAAGGAAGGGCCAGAUUUGGAAGCAUGCAGACAGCCUUUCCCCCAAGAAUGAGACUCUCCACCACCUGGAAACAACUUGCCGAGGGCCAAGACGGAGUUUUGUUCUUGUUGCCCAGGCUGGAGUACAGUGGCGCGGUCUUGGCUCAGUGCAACCUCCACCUCCUGAGUUCAAGCAAUUCUCCUGCCUCAGCCUCCCAAGUAGUUGGAAUUAAAGGCACCCGCCACCA